GAUGAACGCUGGCGGCGUGCCUAACACAUGCAAGUCGAACGAAGCUUGACGGAUGAUUUCUUAGGUAUGAAACCAGAUAUGACUUAGUUGCGGACGGGUGAGUCACACGUGAGCAACCUGCCUUUCAGAGGGGGAUAACGGCUGGAAACGGUCGCUAAUACCGCAUGAUGUUUUCGGAUGGCAUCAUCUGAACAUCAAAGAUUUAUCGCUGAAAGAUGGGCUCGCGUCAGAUUAGAUAGUUGGUGGGGUAACGGCCUACCAAGUCUACGAUCAGUAGCCGGACGGAGAGGUUGAACGGCCACAUUGGGACGGAGAGACGGACCAGACGCCUACGGGAGGCAGAAGUGGGGAAGACUGCACAAUGGGGGAAGACCUGAUGCAGCAACGCCGCGUGAAGGAUGACGGUUUUCGGAUUGUAAACGUCUUGUCUUGGUAACGAAGACAGUGACGGUAGCUAAGGAAUAAGCAACGGCUAACUACGUG
rnacentral:rRNA from 1 species